AGACGCAGAGAGACGAGUAGAGGACACAGAGAGACGAGUAGAGGACACAGAGAGACGAGUAGAGGACACAGAGAGACGAGUAGAGGACACAGAGAGACGAGAGACGCAGAGGAACCAUGGCUGAAUUGGGAGGGAUUGAAAGCUGUUUGUUCCUGAUUGUGAUGCUUCAGUUUGCAGAAGUAGAAACAGCAGUAUCUUUUCUCCCCCUCACUGUUGAAGAUGGAGAUGACGUCACUCUGCCUUGUGACAUUGGGGGAAGAGAUCGGGAGAACUGUGACUCUAUUAAGUGGAGGUUCCCUCGUUCCAUUAUUAGAUCACCAGUAAAUGUGGUUACAAACGGGCAGAUUGAUGAAGAAUCCAAAGCUGAAUCAGACAGACUCAGGGUUUCAGAGAACUGUUCUCUGGUUUUGAAGAAGGUCAAAGGUCAGGAUGCUGGUUAUUAUUCCUGCAGUCUGUCCAGCCCAAGAAGACCAGAACUAUUGGAUAUUUUUCUGUCUGUUGUUACUUUGACAAAACACGAGGACAACGAUGAAGUGACGUUAAACUGCACUGUGUGGACAUAUGAAGGAUGUGAACACACAGUGAAGUGGAGAUUAAAUGGUCAUGUUGUGAAUCCAGACAACAGAGACAUGAAGACAUCACAGUCUCUCUGCUCCACCUCUCUGUCCUUUAAGACUUCUCAUGUCUUCUACACAUCGAGCUUCACUUCAUUGAAGUGUGAAGUGACCGAUAGGGACAAAGUGAUGCAGUUUUCUCUCAGGAAUUCUCCCUCAGGUGAAGACCAAACAACAACUGAAUCAACACCAACUGAAGAGGACACAAAAGCAGGAGACACAACAACUUCUGCAAUGAGAGAAGCUUCAGCAGAACCACAAAGAAGUGACUCUACAUGUUGUGUCUCUAUGUGGAAUCUCUCUUCAUCACGUGAUAAUAUUGUGAUUGAUUGAGGAUAAAUUAGCUCUUUAUAAUCCAACAUCUUUCUGUCUCUCGUCUCCUGGAGUCUAAAAGCUUUGAGGAACAAUGGUUUCAUUUCUUCCUGGUUGCAGUCUGGUGGAAGUUGGUCCUUCUCUGCGUUGGAUUAGCAGCACUCAUCAUCACAGUUGUGGCCGUCAACAUGUGGGCGAGAGUCAAAGAGAGGAGGACACAGACGGAGGAACACGCUGUGCGUUUUGAUGCAGAAGAUGACGCAGUGAACUAUGAGAACAUGAGACCUGCUGAUGGAGUUUGACCAACACGUCUGCAGAUCAGCUCCAUCACCAUCUCCAUGGUGUCCCAGCUGCUGGUGUGGAGCCAGAUGUUCUCCUUCAUUUUGUUUUCAUGAAUACUGUUACAUUACAUUAUUUUUCAGAUGAAAAUCUGAACUUUUGUUUCAUUUUAUUCCAAAAUCUUUUCCAGUGUUUUCAUAAAAUAUAGUUUUAUUUGGUUCCUCAUCUGCAUCUGGAUUUUACCUUCAUUUAACUUUUCUUACCUUCCUUUGUUUGUCUUCCAGCUGAUUAUUUCACAGUUGAUCAUUUUGUGUUUAAUUGGUGAAGCUGCAGCAGCUUGAGCUCAGUUUCACGUCUGUGUGAACAGAAUAACUCUCUUUAAUCCACUUUCAUUCAGCAUCCACAUGUUUGUUGGGAUGUGUUUGUGUUUCAGUGCUUUCAGCCUUAAAGGAGUCAGUAACUUCUCUUUAUAAUCUGUGAUAACAAUAAAUAAAGACAGCGUCAUGCUACACUGUGCUGU